CCUACGGGGGGCAGCAGUGGGGAAUAUUGCACAAUGGGCGCAAGCCUGGUGCAGCCAUGCCGCGUGUGUGAAGAAGGCCUUCGGGUUGUAAAGCACUUUCAGCGGGGAGGAAGGCGGUGAGGUUAAUAACCUCAUCGAUUGACGUUACCCGCAGAAGAAGCACCGGCUAACUCCGUGCCAGCAGCCGCGGUAAUACGGAGGGUGCAAGCGUUAAUCGGAAUUACUGGGCGUAAAGCGCACGCAGGCGGUCUGUCAAGUCGGAUGUGAAAUCCCCGGGCUCAACCUGGGAACUGCAUUCGAAACUGGCAGGCUAGAGUCUUGUAGAGGGGGGUAGAAUUCCAGGUGUAGCGGUGAAAUGCGUAGAGAUCUGGAGGAAUACCGGUGGCGAAGGCGGCCCCCUGGACAAAGACUGACGCUCAGGUGCGAAAGCGUGGGGAGCAAACAGGAUUAGAUACCCGUGUAGUC
rnacentral:rRNA from 1 species